AUGGUGACGAGCGGCUAUGUGCAGUGGCAGGAGUACUCGAGGCCGGACAUGCUGGUGAUGUGCGGCCGAGGCUUUGGCGACGCAGCAUAUGUCGUUAAGGCGGAAGAGGUAAGAGAAGGAAUACCAGGCAGGCAGCAGCAGUGGCGCCCGUCCGCCGUUGUCCGGCACCGGAGCCGCGGAUGCUAUGGAUCCUCCCCGGAAGCGGCGCUCCGGCCUUCCUCCUCGUCACCAGCGAACCCCGUCUCGCCGAACGCCUCCGGAUCUGCCUCCCCAGCCCCUGCCGCACACGAAUCCGUCCCCUCCAAGCCCCGGACGCCGCCUUCGUUCUGCAUCGAGCAGCCACGCCGCCUCCAGCCGCUCGAGGAGCGCGCCGCCUGCCGGCGCGAGACUCGCGGUGCAACACUCCCCUCCCCCCUCAGGCAGUCCGGUGCGCGGCGGCAGGGUAGGGGGUGGCGGCUCACCGGAGGUGGAGACGGGAUUGGGAGGAGAGAAUGGAGAAGGAGAAGGAGAGAAUGGAGAAGGAGAAGAUUUCUCGAAAAAACAAAAAGGAGAAGGAGAAAGAAGUGA
rnacentral:rRNA from 1 species